rnacentral:rRNA from 1 species
AGUGAACGCUGGCGGUAGGCCUAACACAUGCAAGUCGAACGGCAGCACAGUAAGAGCUUGCUCUUACGGGUGGCGAGUGGCGGACGGGUGAGGAAUACAUCGGAAUCUACUUUUUCGUGGGGGAUAACGUAGGGAAACUUACGCUAAUACCGCAUACGACCUACGGGUGAAAGCAGGGGAUCUUCGGACCUUGCGCGAUUGAAUGAGCCGAUGUCGGAUUAGCUAGUUGGCGGGGUAAAGGCCCACCAAGGCGACGAUCCGUAGCUGGUCCGAGAGGAUGAUCAGCCGCACUGGAGCUGAGACGCGGUGCAGCCUCCGACGGGAGGCAGCAGUGGGAAAUCUUGGGCAAUGGGCGCAAGCCUGAUCCAGCCAUACCGCGUGAGUGAAGAAGGCCUUCGGGUUGUAAAGCCCUUUUGUUGGGAAAGAAAAGCAGCAGGUUAAUACCCCGCUGUUCUGACGGUACCCAAAGAAUAAGCACCGGCUAACUUCGU